AAAGACCCUCAGUGAGCUGAAAGCUCAGCCUGAUGUAUUCAUCCAUUUUACUGACUUAUCGCAUGAACAAACUCAUUCAGGUGUGAUUUUUAAUACAGCUUCUGAUUCAGUAGAAACAGAAAUUUUCUGGACAUUAGUGGAAAAUCUACAAAGUUUUGUAAAGGAAAAGCAGCUAAUGCUAAUCUGCUAAUCUCUGUGGGAACAAAGAUCAUCCCAGCAGCUGCUGCUGGACCAAAACCAUCAGCAGGUUCUCGGUUUGUUCGUUCUCCACACCAAACACAUGCAUGAAGUCUCACAUGUUUCAGUUACAAGGACGACUUUUUUAAAAUGAGAUUCAAAACUUGUUCAAUUGAGUUUCUUGUUUUGACACAAGUUUUAUAUCUAAUAAGAAGCUUUCUCGUUUCAGACAAAAACUGAGAUGAACUUUAUAUCUUAUGACAAGUUUUUUCAUUUAAACGAGAUGCUGUUCCUGAAUUUAUUUCCAAUAUCUGGCAGUUCAACAUUUCUGUAGAUUUGCCAGGCCUGAGCUGAACUUUCUGACUAUAUUUAAUGAAUUGCAGAAAAUAACAUCCACUGCUCAUUGGUACCAAGUUUCCUCUGAGGACAGGAAGUGUGAGGAUGUAAAUGUUUAAUAUUUUCUAAAGCUGUUUUCUUCAUGGCUGCUACGCUGAAAGAAAAAUGGCUCAUAUGUUUGGUGCCUCUGCUGCAGCAAUGUUUAAACUUUUACUGCAGCAGAAUAACGAGUGGAAGAAGAAAAACAGAAACAUUCGUCAGGAGGGAAAGAAACGGGGAUGAGAAAGUCCAGAGUUCUGAGAACAACCGUCAAAUUGCUCUGAGAGAUGAAACGACACAAAGGGAGGGUUGGUGAGUUAUUUCUGGCACUAAGGAGGUGGAGGAGUUACACAGAACAAGAAGAUGAAGAGGAGGAGGAGGAAGGAGGAGCAGGCCGAGAGCUCCUAUAAGAGAAGGUGUUUACCGGGUCAUAAAUAGCCGAGCGGUUUCAAAGUAAUCCAGAAGCAGCGAGUCGCUCUGGAUGGAAGCAAACGAGGAGGAGAGAGGAUUGUUCUCAAACUGAACAAAACCGUCUGUUAAAACAAUCAGUGUGUGAGUGAAGGGGGCGUUUCUGAGUCAUGAGGUCCCACUGGGCG